AAAACUCUGUGAGUAUAACAGAACUGAUAUGGCAGGCGAAAACCUGAGGAAAAUCCAUCCAGGAAGUGGGAUUUUUUGAUGUGGGUAGUUUUCAAUUGAAUGCCUAUAGAGUAUCUAAAUGGUUAGGACCCAGAUUGCAGUUCCUAUGGCUUCCACUAGAUGUCAACAGUCUUUAGACAUUGUUUCAGGCUUGUUUCCUGAAAAAUGAAGAAGAAUGAGACAUUUUGUAAGUGGACUGUAGAAUCAAGCAGAGCUGGUUUGUGUGCCCUUCGUUGUUUUUCCUUUCUAAUGAAGACGCUAUGUUUAAAUAUUAUUGAUUAUUUAGACAAUAGACAACCUGAGGAUUAAUUAUAAACAUCGUUUGACAUGUUUCGACGAACUUUACCGGUACUGUUAGGAUGUAUUCCGUCUGCAUGUUUUGAUCGCCUUUGAGCCAGUGGAUUACUGAACAAAACGUGCCAACAAACAGAGUUUUUUGGAUAUAAAGUGGGACUUUAUUGAACAAAACUAACAUUUAUUGUGUAGCUGGGACUCUUGUGACUGCAACCAGAAGAAGAUCUUAAAAGAGAACCCUGAAUCUGAGGACCCCUUGCCCACCGACGAAGUCCCAGGUCCCUCUGAAGAUGCUGGUGGUGAUGGAGUCAGACGAACAGUGGGUGAAGUGCAGGAGGUCUGCAGUAGCUGGAAGGCCUCCAGCCAUUUCACCCUUCCUGGCCCUGCUGUUGGCUUUAAUGAGUCCCAGUCUAGAGUACAAAGCCUCUUGCCUUCUCCCGCUGAGGCAGAGUGCAUCAAACCGUUUCUGGCAGAGGAGCUGGUGGGAGACAUAGUGGAGGAGACCAAUCGCAGUGCCAUGGAGCUAAAGGAGAAGCGAGAGCCAUGGGGAAGGUAGACCACCAGAUGGGAGAGAGAAAGAUCAAACCAGACUGUGUGCUUGACCUUAAUCACAAAAUGGGGGCAGGUGGACAUGAUUAACAGCUUUGUGGAAUACGCUCGGAAAACCAGCUAGUGGUAUAAGAAGAUAUUUUUUCCAUCUGAUUGACACUGCUGCCUUUAAAUGGCCACAUUACUGUACAAGUUUUUUUGCAAUUGGAAAUACAGUUCACAUACAAAAAGCAUAGAGUUACAUUUGCUAAAUCUCUCACCUACCUCCCUACCCCCUCAUCAUCCUCUCCACUACCUCUCCCCCAUUGGUGAGAUGAUUACCUACCAAAAGUACAGAGAGAUCCUCAUGAGAGAGCUGCUGGAUGAGCACCACACCCCUCGGUGUCCAUCUCCUGGCGGCUGUCCUGCUGCAGACAAUCCUCUGCACUGCAUUUUCCCUAUGAAGUUGGGGGAGGGGGUGUUUAGGCAGUUUAAUUGGAGAUGCUCAAAUGUCUGCUUAAUUGACCUGGGGAAACACUGGGGG
rnacentral:lncRNA from 1 species